CUUUUUGUUGUAUUUGAAGUAAAAUUCUGACAUGAAUAUCAAGCCCAAAGCAGUGUUCCUGCAGCAGUGAGUCAGUGCCAAGCAUCCAUGCUGGGCUGCAGACAGGAUCUACCCCAGCUCGUUACACGGUUGUAUCAGGGUAGUGUGCACAGUAUUUAUCCAGCAAUAUCCUCUUCUGCACCUAGGAACAUUUCUCUGGCUAUUCUCCCUCUCUGUACAAUUAACUAUUUAGCAUUUGACAGCUCAGAAAGGCUUGAUUGUGUUCCAGCAAUGAUCUGUGAGCCUGUUCCACAAUCUAAUGUUCCAAAAUUGCUCCCUGGCCUCCAUUUACAGCAACCUUGUCCAGAAGCAGUUGGGCCAUGUUCACAUUCUAACAUCAAAAUUGUAUUUUUCUGCAUCUAAAUAAUAUUUUUUUGUCUAAAGAUAAGGUUUUUUGGUCUUAGAGCUGCUGCUUUGAUAUUUCCUGUCACAUGUACCUCAUCAUGUUAAAUAUCCAUGCUGGAUAUUUCCUCGAGGAAAAGAAAAAAUAGCGAAGAUUGUAAGUGCAAACCACAUUCCUUUCUCAUUUCCUGACUGACAUUGUGCUGUUCAGAGUUUCAGAGGUAUUGUUUCCUAUCGCAGACCAUAUGUACCAUGGGAUACACUCCAGUAAUUCUCCAUAGAGGCUUAAUAUUGAACAGAUAAAAGUAAUGUUAAAUAAUCAGAUUUACAGGAAACUGUUUUGCUUUGUUGACCAUAUUAAUAAUAAAGUCCUGCAGAAAGGGGACAUCUGGGUUUCUGUAAUCCAGCCUGCUUCUGUGCAGGUUACUUUUGGAUUCCUGUGAAAUGUUUAGCCUUAAAGUUCUUAAUGAUGACUUGUAUUUGGAUGCUUUUGCAAUCGUCCCUGAAGCGACACCUCACCAAUGAUAGGCUUCAGGAGCUCGUGGGUGUGUUAAUUUGAAUUAAUUAUAGCAGAUUUGACUUGCCUUUGCUAUAAAAUUGACUUGCUUAAUUCACCCAGUAGAAGUUGUCACUAUUAAAUCCAGAAGGUUUAUGAGGAUAGAGAUCUUGGGAUUCCAGUGAUCCUCCUAAAAAUUUAAUUAGAUAGAGCUGAAAUCAGUCAAACACGAAGUCCCAUGCCUGUAUUUAGGAUUGAUGGUCAUCCAUAAAUCCAGGUGCAUGCACAUCCCAAACAUGCCAUGAUUUGACAUUAUUCUAACUGGGAAGGUGUGGAGAUCCCUGAUCUUCUGGGGAACUGUGUUAACUAUGGACUUUCACUUUGUGUUUCCAAAACCAGCAAUAAGUGGUCCUGGCAGGGAGAACAGAGAUGUCUGUGAUAUUUGUCACUUCACUAAGUGAGAGCCAUGAUGGGGACAACUUCAUCAACCAGCAUGAUGGCUCCUGGGAGCUGAGGCUGCAGCUGGAGACCCUGAACUGGCAGACCCUCGAGGCAAGCGGUUAUCACAUGGCAAAGGACCAGCACCAGCUGCUUUGGUAAAUUAAAAUUGUUUUGUGGAAUGAAUGGCUUGGACAAAAGCGCUGAUAAAUCGCCCGAAACGAGACUGCCUGACACUCAAAUAGCUGCUAAUGCAACUCCCUAGGGAGUUUUCCUGUUAUCUGGAUGAAGUUAACUGGAAACAAGUAAAUAUACUUGAGAUGAAGUGGUGUCAGAGAAGACUGAUGAGGCCUUCAGAGCGUGGUCUGGAAAAAAGCUGAAUUACUUGCAGAACUUACCUCACUGUGAGAGGCUUGAAGCUCCUGCAGUCGAAGAUUGUGCCUAAAGUGCAUUUGCCCUCUGUGGUGCCAGCACAGUCCCAGGUAAAAGCACAUUUUGCCACAUUAAUACUAAAGCAUACGGAGCCCAAACCGACCAAGCCUGGAGGAGCCUUGCCGGGGAAUGGGAUUUUCACAGGCAGUUUGAGAAGAUUGAUUGUCCCUGUUCCAACCAAAUUAUAAUAAA